UCGGGUGUAGGGUAGGCUGAACAAAGAAAAAUUUGGUUUAAAGUGUGGCGUUGGGAGGGGUAAAUAAUGGUAGGAAGGGAAACUUGAUGAUUGGAGUAGAAAUAAAUGAAAACAGUAACAAACUUUUAACUCUUUUUUUUUUCCUCGAUUUUUUUUGCUCACUUUUUUUUUUCGAAUUUCUUUUUUUUAAUAUUUUCAAAAUUUUUUUAUAUACCACAAUACACUAAUAUGCUGAAU
rnacentral:lncRNA from 1 species